rnacentral:sRNA from 1 species
GCUGGGCGUGGUGGAGCAUGCCUGUAAUCCUAGCUUCUGAGGGGCAGAAGGUGGUGACUGAGGUAGGAGGCUCAGAAGUUUAAGGCCAACUUAACAAAAUGAGGCCCCUCACCUAUGUCUUUUU